UACGUAGGGUGCAAGCGUUUGUCCGGAAUUAUUGGGCGUAAAGAGCUCGUAGGCGGCUUGUCGCGUCGACCGUGAAAACUUGGGGCUCAACCCCAAGCCUGCGGUCGAUACGGGCAGGCUAGAGUUCGGUAGGGGAGACUGGAAUUCCUGGUGUAGCGGUGAAAUGCGCAGAUAUCAGGAGGAACACCGGUGGCGAAGGCGGGUCUCUGGGCCGAUACUGACGCUGAGGAGCGAAAGCGUGGGGAGCAAACAGG
rnacentral:rRNA from 1 species